CCGUUGCUUUAUGUGUUUUAAUAACAUGAGAUAAUUGCGUGAAAAGUAAUAUAUUACAAAUGCAACCGGUUCAGAAGGAGCUGAUUAAUUUCCUCUAACGGCAGCUCCGACAGUAGUGCGGCUGCAGAUCUCACCUUAUCGUUUCUAUAGUAACGGCUCGGUCACGGGGUACCCUUAACGCAGAUUUAAAAACCGUCGAUGCGGUUCGAUCGAGGAGACGUCGGUUUAAGGUCUUCGGAAGGAGUCUCCAGUGUGAGCAGGUGUGGAACUGUGUUAGAGGUGAGGCUGUAACUUCCAGAACGGUGGAGUUCACGUCUGUCGCGGUUUCUCCGGAAGGUGAUAAGGUGCGGCGUGGGUUUUUUUUUUUUGUCUUUGUCUUUUGCUAUAACGUAUGUGAUAUAUAAGAGGGUAUGUACGAUACGUAAAUGUAACUAUAGACGGAUAAAAUGAAAUACCUGUGGGUUUUUGAUAAGUAAGAACGUGUCAGUCGUGCGGUGUGAGAGGAUGGAACCCUUCAACGUGCCAGCUUUGAUUUGUCGUCGAUCACGUUCCGAUAACAGCAUGACACGCCGCGUUUUACCGUCACUCGAUGUGUAAUCAAUGAUUACCGUAUGUAUAAUCUUUUAUAAAUGUGUUAUAAGAUGUUAGGAAUGUUUAUAGCCGGCCUUCAGAGAAAGUCCGAUCUCGAUCUAGAUUCACACGAAUUGGACUCUUUUCUAAAAGAAUCGAGGUUUGAGUGACUGGAUUUCUUUCUCUUGCACACACGGAGGAGGUCUGAGUCGCAAAAACGUUCCAGUAUUUGCAAAAUAUCACGAAUGUACUAAAAUUUCAUUUUAAAAAACGUUUUUUUUGUUUGUUUUGUUUUUUUUACAAAAAUAGAUCUGAUCGAACGUCAAUAACACGGCACAUGAACAGGACAGUCCUGAUUUAUCCAUUUUAUUUCAUUUUUUUUUUAAUUAACUAAACGAUGUUCUUUGAAAUAAACUGAAGUUUUUGCAGAAAUAUGAUCCGUUUUCGGGCCUCACACCCCUCCGUGACGGGUCCUUGAGCUGAAACACACACAUUUCUGAUUCCUUACUGUAUACCUGAGGGUUAUUGCUGGUUUUUAUUUAUUUUAUUUUUUAUUUCACGAGGUCAAAAAAAUGAAAAAAUGAAGAAAAAAAAAAAAAAGCAACACGAAACAGAGAGAGACAUUUUACAUUUAUACAGUUUAUAAAGGGUUCACGGAUGCGGUCUGACCGCUAACACACGCCUGUUGGUUUAACCGGGAUCAGUACUGUAACGCUUUAACAGGAAGAUAAAAAUACAAAUCAUAGAUAGAGUACAAAAUACUGAGUUAGCGCUUACAGACACCUGCUAGUUUAUUACAUACUGUACAUUAGCUACAUAUUCUGUACAUAAUAAACCGGCAAACACUAUUUAUUUAUUUAUCUAUCUAUCUAUUUACUAAUUUAUUCGUUUGUUUGUAAAUUUAUUUGGUGGUUCGGAAAUUUUUUUAAUAAUUUUUUUUUUUUUUAAUCUAUAAAAGUCUGAGUCCACUACCAAGAUCUAAUGAUAUAUCUGAAAUUCAAGUUUUUAAUGACUAUAGUUAAGAUGAUUAAGAUUAAAGUGAAGAAGGGUCACAGAUUUCAGUUUCCUAAACAGUGAAACGCAUGAUCCUGGGCAUUAAUGCACCAGAAAUCAUGUUACUAAGAAUAUAUAUAUAUAUAUAUAUAUAUAUAUAUAUAUAUAUAUACACCGAGAGAGAGAGAGAGAGGGAGAGAGAGAGAGAAAGCAG
ensembl:lncRNA